UACGUAGGGUGCAAGCGUUGUCCGGAAUUAUUGGGCGUAAAGAGCUCGUAGGCGGUUUGUCGCGUCGAAUGUGAAAACCCGGGGCUCAACCCCGGGCCUGCAUUCGAUACGGGCAGACUAGAGUUCGGUAGGGGAGACUGGAAUUCCUGGUGUAGCGGUGAAAUGCGUAGAUAUCUGGAGGAACACCGGUGGCGAAGGCGGCAUCCUGGACCGGUAUUGACACUGAGGCGCGAAAGCCAGGGGAGCAAACGGG
rnacentral:rRNA from 1 species